rnacentral:rRNA from 1 species
UACGUAGGGUGCGAGCGUUAAUCGGAAUUACUGGGCGUAAAGCGUGCGCAGGCGGUUGAUGUAAGACAGUUGUGAAAUCCCUGGGCUCAACCUGGGAAUUGCAUCUGUGACUGCAUAGCUAGAGUACGGUAGAGGGGGAUGGAAUUCCGCGUGUAGCAGUGAAAUGCGUAGAUAUGCGGAGGAACACCGAUGGCGAAGGCAAUCCCCUGGACCUGUACUGACGCUCAUGCACGAAAGCGUGGGGAGCAAACAGG